rnacentral:rRNA from 1 species
GAUCAUGGCUCAGGAUGAACGCUAGCUACAGGCUUAACACAUGCAAGUCGAGGGGCAGCAUUUUUUCUAGCAAUAGAAGAGAUGGCGACCGGCGCACGGGUGAGUAACACGUAUCCAACCUACCGAUAACUCUGGAAUAGCCUUUCGAAAGAAAGAUUAAUACCGGAUAGUAUACGAAUAUCGCAUGAUAUUUUUAUUAAAGAAUUUACGGUUAUCGAUGGGGAUGCGUUCCAUUAGUUUGUUGGUCGGGG